rnacentral:misc_RNA from 1 species
UCCGGUUUGUCACCGGCAGUCCCAUUAGAGUGCUCAACUGAAUGUAGCAACUAAUGACAAGGGUUGCGCUCGUUGCGGGACUUAACCCAACAUCUCACGACACGAGCUGACGACAGCCAUGCAGCACCUGUGUUCCGAUUCUCUUUCGAGCACUCCCAAAUCUCUUCGGGAUCUCGGACAUGUCAAGCGUAGGUAAGGUGGGGAUGACGUUAGGAUAG